UGCGCAGGCGGCCGUGUGUGUGAGGCGUGAAAGCCCGGAGCUCAACUCCGGAAUGGCACCUCAAACUACACGGCUAGAGCAUUGGAGAGGGUAGCAGAAUUCACGGUGUAGCAGUGAAAUGCGUAGAUAUCGUGAGGAAUACCAGAGGCGAAGGCGGCUACCUGGACAAUUGCUGACGCUCAGGCACGAAAGCGUGGGGAGCAAAAGGGAUUAGAUACCCCUGUAGUCCACGCCCUAAACGGUGCGCACUAGGUCUUGGAGGAUUCGACCCCUUCAGGGCCCAAGCUAACGCGUUAAGUGCGCCGCCUGAGGACUACGGCCACAAGGCUAA
rnacentral:rRNA from 1 species